UACGAAGGGGGCUAGCGUUGCUCGGAAUGACUGGGCGUAAAGGGCGCGUAGGCGGCUCAUACAGUCAGAUGUGAAAUUCCUGGGCUUAACCUGGGGGCUGCAUUUGAUACGUGUGGGCUUGAGUGGGGGAAGAGGGUCGUGGAAUUCCCAGUGUAGAGGUGAAAUUCGUAGAUAUUGGGAAGAACACCGGUGGCGAAGGCGGCGACCUGGUCCUUGACUGACGCUGAGGCGCGAAAGCGUGGGGAGCAAACAGG
rnacentral:rRNA from 1 species